UCAUGAAACUUUCAGGACAAGUGGGUGUUGGUCUCAAAUAGAACCUCCAACAUAUUGAGGGUCAUCCAGUCAAGGUUGCCAAAAAGGUCAAUCUUUUUUUUCAUGAUAUCUUCCUUCAUAUUCAUUCGGAUGUAUUCUGAUUGGCUGAGAGCAGUAUGGCAUGUGAAUGAGAAUCAGAAUGAGAACCAUGUUUCUUGGCCAAGUAUGUUCACACACGAUCAAGGUCAUCAAAAAGGUCAAGAUCGUUUUUUCACGAUAUCUUCCUUCAUAUUCAUCACAAGUGCUACCAGGCGAGGUUUGUUUUGCGUGGCAACACUUAUUAUUGCAUUGUCUUUGGCUCUGACUGACUGCACUACCACUGCAUUCUGUGGUGCUCACUAUUAUAGUCCGACUGUACUAGCAGACAUCCAGUGAGAAAUAAAUCCUAUGAUGUAGAUUGUACCGUAUAUUAAACAUUUAAUGCUUAGCCGAGGCUGAGCAACAAUCAUCUUAGCCUCUAGCUGCUUGUAUAUUUGACUCUAAUUUUAAUGCCUUUUACCUCUUCUGCUUUCCAGCGCAACCAGGAACAUUCUACAUUGAUCCCAGUGGUCCACAGUGGUAAAUAAAAUAUUUGGAAAGUAAUUACUGAUUAUUCACUUCAUGUCUUUGAAGUGAACUGAAGAGAUCUCAUCCAUUUGUAUGAGUGUAAGCCAGACCGAAAUUCAGACAUUUAUUCUCGGAUACUAUGACACCUGUCACCCCACUGACAUCAGAUGUUUAUCAGUUUGCUGGGCUGACAUAGAAAUGUUCAAAGACAUUUCAUCACUGAUAUUGACUGAACAGGUAUCACGGUGAUGUAGUGGUUAGCACAGUCACCUCACAGCAAGAAGGUCCUGGGUUUGAGCCCAGCAGCUGACGAGGGCCUUUCUGUCUGGAGUUUGCAUGUUCUCCCAGUGUCUGUGUGGGUUUCCUCUGGGUGCUCCAGUCCCCCCACAGUCCAAAGACAUGCAGGUGAAGCUAAUUGGUGGCUCUAAAUUUACCAUAGGUGUGAGUGUGAAUGGUUGUUUGUCUCUGUCUCAGCCCUGCAAUGACCUGGUGACUUGUUCAGGGUGUACCCCACCUCUCGCCCAUAGUCAGCUGGGAUAGGCUCCAGCUUGCCUGCAACCCUGUACAGGACAAGCGGUUACAGAUAAUGGAUGGAUGGACAUUGACUGAACAGACAGGGCUGAAAGUUAUACUGUCAGUCAGUGGAGUCUGCAGAAUGCAGUGGCAGUGCAGUCAGUCAGAGCCACAGACAAUGGGAUAAUACAAGAAUGACCAAUUAAAAGCUUAUGUGCUGAUGAAAAAUACCAUGGAACCAGUAACUUGACAAAUAUAGACAGACAAAUCACAUUUCAGCUUGCAUCUGAUAUUUGACCAUAAAAAAUGAUUUUAUAGCCCAAUGUUUGUUUUUGUACAAUUACCAGCAACAUAUAGUCCUGGGUAUGAAUUUAAACUGCAACCGGUGGCGAGUCUUAGGUCUGGGAGGACUUGAGUAUUGAGGAAAGUAGAGUUACCCCUUAAUCACAAUUGCCCUCAGGUCCGCUCUGACCUGGAGUGGUAGUGCUUUCCUGGAUUCCAGCUAUGGGAUAAAUAGUACAUCAGUAAGGCGCUGGCAGCAGGGUACUUUUUGGUGCAUUGUGGCAGAUGACAGACAUGGGGACUUGAGACUUAGUGACUUGGACUCGAGUCGCUGUUUUAAUGACUUGUGACUUGACUUGACAAAAUAUUCAAUACUUGAGACUUGACUCAGACUUGGAGGUAUAAGACUCAGGACUUGACUUGCGACACGAUGACUUGAAUGACUUGAGUGUUCACAUGUUUUCAGUGUGAAUAUAAAAGGUAAAUUUUUUUAAAAUGAUUUUGAUCACCGUGCAGACUGCGGGCUGAGAAAAGCACUGCCUUGUCAAUCAGUCAUGCCCUCUCUGCGUGGGCUACCUUACAUACACCACGCCCACGCCCCACUGUGCCCCUGUGGCGAACGUCUUGUGAGAUAUCACAUAAACAUGUCAGCCAUACUGAGGGUAAUUACUUUCACCUUCAAAGACUACUUCCAAGAAGGUAAACGGCGAACAGCGUAGUGCAAGCUUUGCGACAUAAAUUUUGGACAGCCAGACCACGACCUCAAAUUUCAUCCAUCAUUUGAAGAGCCAUCCUGCGCAAUAUGCGGAGUAUGAAAGGACAAGAAAUGCCUGCGCUGAUAGUACACAGCCUGCAAUUUCACAGUUCAUCCAGUCUCGUCCUCUGGAAGCAUAUUCAGCCAAUCAUCCCAGACAGAAGGCCAUAACUAACGCUAUGGUUACAGGCCUUGUGAUUGGAUGUAGCAUGCCUCUUUCAAUGACAGAAAAUAAACAUUUCCGGCAUUUCAUGUCCGUGGUGGACUCAAAGUACCAGCCUGUCUGCUGCAGAACAAUGACUUCAAAGAUAGAAUCCCUUGUUGCCGAGACUCGGGAAAAGAUAAAACUGAUUCUUGCUGGUGUAGACCAUGUUUCGGUUACCGUAGACAUUUGGUCAGAUAGGAGGAUGUGUGGGUUUUUGGGAGUUACUGGCCAUGUCUUGGCAACAUCUGAAGGAGUUAUGCUGAAGUCAUACCUGCUGGCAUGCAACCAAUUCAAAGGACCCCACACAGGAGAACGCAUUGCAGAAGCCUUCAAUUCCCUGUGUGAGGAAUUUGGAAUCAGACAUAAACUUGACUUUAUAAUCUGCGACAAUGCCGCGAAUAUGAAGCGAGCCUUUUCAGUGUGUUUUCCAAAAGAACAAGAUGGCGAAGUAACUGAUGACAAUCUGGAUGAUGCAGAAUUGUGGGAAGACCUCUCCAGGGAUGAAUGGGAGACUGUGGACCGCACAAUCAACAGAGGAAGCCCUAAACGUCAGCAGUGCUUUGCACAUACUCUGCAGUUAACUGUUGGUGAUGGUCUGAAGGAUGCACGGACCAUGAACAGUUCCUUUGCAAAAUGUUCCAAGCUGAGCUCUCUCCUGCAUACAUCCAGCACCUUUAAGGAUGCAUUUGAAGAUAAGUUUGGGCAGCGAGGGAUACCUGCUUCUGUAAAUACACGGUGGAAUUCAACUCUCCGCCAAGUCAAGGCAGUGCUUUCAUUCAGUCAUCAGGAAUUGAGCAGUGUUGUUCAGGACACAGGACACAAUGAGCUGGUCUUCUCAAUUAGGGAGUGGAACUUGAUGAAGGAACUUUGCGAUGUGCUACAAGCAUUUGCCGAGGCCACUGAUCUUACUCAGGGAGAGAAGAUUGUGACUGUAAGCUCUGUCCUCCCCUGUGUAUUGUCACUAAACCACCAUUUGGAAAAACUCAGACUGCAAGCCCGCUUCCUGGGAAGCAUGAUCCAUAGCCUGCAAUCCUCUCUGAAGGAAAGAUUCCAGGGGAUCUUUGUUAAUGUGAAGAUGUUGUCAGCAGCAUCAGGAGAAGAGCUGCCAUUUGCAGACCCAGUCUACAUCAGGUCAGCUGUCCUGGACCCAGCUUUCUCCAUGUUGUGGCUUCAGCAUGAUGUGCUUGUCACCGAUGACAUCAAGAACAACAAUGUUGACAUGGUGAAAGAUCUGAUUCUAUAUGAGGUGCAACCUCACACAACAUCCCAGAGUCCUGGAUUCCAAGACGUCGGAAGUGAAAGCCAUCAGGAAGACAGCAUUGGCUUAUUCUCAGACUACAGAAAACGCCGCAAGCAGGACCCGACCACCAACCCAGAGACACAACUAAAUAACUAUUUUGGUCUUUGUUGUGGGCAGCCUUGUCUGUCCUUCUGGGAUGCAAACAGGGCUGUCCUCCCUGCCCUUUUUCCUGUUGCAAUGAAAGCUUUGCCAGUGCCAGCCUCAAGUGCCCCAGUUGAAAGAGUCUUCAGCCAUGGUGGAAUCAUCAUGAGACCCCAUCGUGCUUGGCUUGCAGAUAAGACUCUCUCUAAUCUUAUAUUUUGCAAGUGCAAUACCUUGUAAAAAGGGAAUGACUUGUGGAUUGUGUGUGUGUGUGUGUGUGUGUGUGUGUGUGUGUGUGUGUGAGCGAGAGAGAGAGAAUGUGAGGGUGUGUGUGAGAGCAGAGAAAUGUGUACUGUAAGUUAUUUGUUUUAGCUGUUAUUUGUUACUUUGUAAUUGGGGAGUUACUUGUGGAUACUGUGUGUGUGUGUGUGUGUGUGUGUGUGUGUGUGUGUGUGUGUGUGUGUGAGAGAGAGAGAGAGAGAGAGAGCAGAGAAAUGUGACAAAGUUUACUGAUUCAAAUUCAGAACCUUCUGAUUCUUAACCCAAGACCUUCACCCCUAGACCUUUGUCCUGGGUUUGAUUUUAAACUGCAACUGGUGGUGAGUCUCGGGUCCGGGAGGACUUGGAGUAUUGGGGAAAGUGGAGUUACCCCUUAAAUCACCAUUGUUCCCAGGUCCGCUCUGACCCGGAGUGGUAGCACCUGCCUGGGUUCAACAGUACAUCACCAGUAAGGCGCUGGCAGCAGGGCGCUUUUCAGUGCAAUGUGGCAGAUGAACCUACCAGGGUCAAUGGCACACCACCAGAUGGCAUGCAGAAGAGCCACUCAAAUGGCCAAUGGAUGGCAUCACUCAGCACAUCAGUUGUCACUGCAGGGCAACUUACAUACCUGUCAGGUCUGUGGCACUUUUGUGCACCACUUGGCAUCAGGUCCGGCGGUCCAGAGAGAACACGAUGGGGGCACGAUAUCGUCUGACCUUACUAUGUAAGGUGCUUCGCUGGGAGAGAAUAGUAUGCAAGAGCGAACGAGGCCAGACAUUCAGUGGUGGCUCGGCCAGGCCAUUCAUGCCGCUGCUGCGGGCAACUCCGUCGAUCUGGUGCAGGCCUUGCGGCCCAUCUGCGUUUCUGCGCAUCAUAAUGAAGCAGUCAUCAUCGCUAGCGAUGGACAGCCGACAAUGACCACUAGACCAGCGAUCGCAAUGGAAGGAGUGAUCUGUAGUUUGAAUUUAUUAACGAGUCCAAUCUUAUUGCAUAAUCAAGUAGUUUAAAAUACAAAGUCUUCCCAAAUCCUAACCCUAGACAUAGCAAGUCUCCCUAAUACAAGUAGCAAAUUAUGAACUGGGUUAAAAAUUUUAACCUAGGUUAAAAAAAUCAUAUUAUUAUUAGGGCCCAAGCACCAGUCGGUGCGAAGACCCUAUUGUUUUUCAAAGGAUUAUUAUUAUUAUUUUUCUGUCGCAUUUGGCCUAUUUUGAGGCAUUUCCCAUGCACAAAAACUCAUGAAAUUUGAUACACACAUCAGUCAUUGUAACCGCUUCUCAGCCACAGACGUUUGGCCCCAGGCAUGGCCCAGGGACUUCAUAGCGCCCCCUAAACGAAACAAAACUCUUUAGAACUUAUGGCUAGAAUCUUACUCAGAACCCUUAGAUCAGUACAAAAAUGACAUGAAUCAUGAUAGUUGUCCUAGCAAAACACACACACACACUAAUAGUGACCUGCCAUCAUUGUGCAUUUUGUUGCAGACAUAUGAAAACUCUGCAUGUACACACACACACACACACACACACACACACACAAACAGUAGACACAGGAAAGCUAAGAUGACAAGAUUACAGCAUGAGAUGGAGAUAAGAAGGAGACACAUGUAUAGUUUUGUGCAUAUAUAAAGAUACAUCUUCACACCACGGAAACACACACACACACACACACACAGUCUUUGUCUAUCUCUCAUCCGUCAAGCAGUCAUGGCAUUUGCAACAUGCACAUCACCUUUGAACAUUUGAUGAAUAUAUGACAUGUAACUGUUUUGGGGCGGCACGGUGGUGUAGUGGUUAGCGCUGUCGCCUCACAGCAACA